rnacentral:hammerhead_ribozyme from 1 species
GCACUGCUGACGAGUCUCAAACAGGACGAAACAGCUGUACAGUGA